rnacentral:misc_RNA from 1 species
AAGUCGUAACAAGGUAACCGUAGGUGAACCUGCGGUUGGAUCAUUUCGAUUAUAGGAUGGGAUGCGUUGCGAAAGCUGCGCGGCCCGUUUUAUGUACCCCGUGAACGUUUCCCGUAUUUUGGCAGCCCUCCGAGUCACGUCGGCCAGGUGACUGGUUGGCGCGUACUGGGCUGCCAGCUGUAUAGACACUGUAUUUAUUAAGUUUCGGUUAGAAAAUGAAUGAAACAACUUUUGACAACGGAUCUCUUGGCUCUU